rnacentral:rRNA from 1 species
UACGUAGGGGGCAAGCGUUGUCCGGAAUCAUUGGGCGUAAAGAGCUCGUAGGCGGUGUGUCGCGUCGGCCGUGAAAACCUGCAGCUUAACUGUGGGCGUGCGGUCGAUACGGGCAUCACUGGAGUUCGGCAGGGGAGGACUGGAAUUCCUGGUGUAGCGGUGAAAUGCGCAGAUAUCAGGAGGAACACCCGGUAGUCGGAAGGCGGGUCUCUGGGCGAUAACUGACGC